GAUGAACGCUGGCGGCGUGCCUAAUACAUGCAAGUCGAGCGAACAGACGAGGAGCUUGCUCCUCUGACGUUAGCGGCGGACGGGUGAGUAACACGUGGAUAACCUACCUAUAAGACUGGGAUAACUUCGGGAAACCGGAGCUAAUACCGGAUAAUAUAUUGAACCGCAUGGUUCAAUAGUGAAAGACGGUUUUGCUGUCACUUAUAGAUGGAUCCGCGCCGCAUUAGCUAGUUGGUAAGGUAACGGCUUACCAAGGCGACGAUGCGUAGCCGACCGGAGAGGGUGAUCGGCCACACUGGAACUGAGACACGGUCCAGACGCCUACGGGAGGCAGCAGUAGGGAAUCUUCCGCAAUGGGCGAAAGCCUGACGGAGCAACGCCGCGUGAGUGAUGAAGGUCUUCGGAUCGUAAAACUCUGUUAUUAGGGAAGAACAAAUGUGUAAGUAACUAUGCACGUCUUGACGGUACCUAAUCAGAAAGCCACGGCUAACUACGUG
rnacentral:rRNA from 1 species